rnacentral:rRNA from 1 species
GAGCUGGGUUUAGAACGUCGUGAGACAGUUCGGUCCCUAUCUGCCGUGGGUGUUCGAGACUUGAGAGGAUCUGUCCCUAGUACGAGAGGACCGGGAUGGACGCACCUCUGGUGGACCUGUUGUCACGCCAGUGGCACAGCAGGGUAGCUAUGUGCGGACGGGAUAACCGCUGAAGGCAUCUAAGCGGGAAACCCCCCUCGAAACCAGGUCUCGCCUGAGAGCCGUAGUAGACCACUACGUCGAUAGGCCGGGUGUGGAAGCGCAGUAAUGUGCGAAGCUAACCGGUACUAAUCACCCGG